GAUGGAAUUCACUUACUGUAGAGAUCCAAAGUAGACCGCUCGUAGUAGAAAUUUAGAGUAGACCAUUUGUAGUAGAAGUUCGAAGUAGACCGCUCGUAGUAGAAGUUCAGAGUAGACUGCUCGCAGUAGGAGUUCGGCAGAAAUUCGAUUCUUGUAGGAGCUCGGAUGGAAUCUGAAAGGUGGUCGACAAUCGUAGAAGCUUGGAUGGAGUCUGGUUACUAUAGAAAUCCCAUUGUC
rnacentral:lncRNA from 1 species